rnacentral:rRNA from 1 species
UACGAAGGGGGCUAGCGUUGCUCGGAAUUACUGGGCGUAAAGGGCGCGUAGGCGGCACUGUUAGUCAGGCGUGAAAGUCCUGGGCUCAACCUGGGAACUGCGCUUGAUACGGCAGAGCUAGAGGAUGGAAGAGGCUCGCGGAAUUCCCAGUGUAGAGGUGAAAUUCGUAGAUAUUGGGAAGAACACCGGUGGCGAAGGCGGCCUGCUGGGCUAUGGCUGACACUGAGGCGCGACAGCGUGGGGAGCAAACAGG